UGAGAUGUCACAGAUUCUACUUUUCAUUU
rnacentral:piRNA from 1 species